AGGAUACAUUCAGUAUACGAAC
rnacentral:miRNA from 2 species